rnacentral:rRNA from 1 species
GAUGAACGCUGGCGGCGUGCCUAACACAUGCAAGUCGAGCGGUAUAUAUCUUAGCAAAUCUUCGGAAGAGCGAAGGUAUAGAGAGCGGCGGACGGGUGAGUAACGCGUAGGCAACCUGCCCCAUACAGAGGGAUAGCCUCGGGAAACCGGGAUUAAAACCUCAUAACGCGAAAGGUUCACAUGGACUUUUCGCCAAAGAUUUAUCGGUAUGGGCUGGGCCUGCGUCUGAUUGGCUAGUUGGUGGGGUAACGGCCUACCAAGGAGACACUCAGUAGCCGAACUGAGAGGGUAAUCGGACACAUUGGAAGUGAGACACGGACCAAACGCCUACGGGCGACAGCAGUGGGGAAUAUUGCACAAUGGGAGAAAGCCUGAUGCAGCAACGCCGCGUGAGCGAUGAAGGCCUUCGGAUUGUAAAGCUCUUUUGCCAGGGACGAUAAUGACGGUACCUGGAGAAUAAGCCCCGGCAAACUUCGUGCCAGCAGCCGCCGCAG